GCUUGGGCUACGACUGCUAGGGGUUCGUGCUCGGCACCGGGUAAGCCUCUCUGGGGCCGGCG
rnacentral:tRNA from 1 species